UACGGGGGGGGGCAAGCGUUGUUCGGAAUUACUGGGCGUAAAGGGCUCGUAGGCGGCCAACUAAGUCAGACGUGAAAUCCCUCGGCUUAACCGGGGAACUGCCUCUGAUACUGGAUGGCUUGAGAUUGGGAGAGGGAUGCGGAAUUCCAGGUGUAGCGGUGAAAUGCGUAGAUAUCUGGAGGAACACCGGUGGCGAAGGCGGCAUCCUGGACCAACACUGACGCUGAGGAGCGAAAGCCAGGGGAGCAAACGGG
rnacentral:rRNA from 1 species